GCCAGGUGUGGUGGCUCAUGCCUUUAGUCCCAGCUACUUAGGAGGCUGAGGUGGGAGGAUCACUUGAGCCCAGGAGGCUGAGGCUGCAGUGAGUUGUGAUCAUGCCACUGCACUCCAGCCUGGGCGACAGAGUGAGACCCUGUCUCAA
ensembl:misc_RNA Metazoa_SRP Metazoan signal recognition particle RNA